UAGCCGUAAACGAUACUCGCUAGGUGUCGGCCACGGUGCGACCGUUGUCGGUGCCGUAGGGAAGCCGUGAAGCGAGCCACCUGGGAAGUACGGCCGCAAGGCUGAAACUUAAAGGAAUUGGCGGGGGAGCACAACAACGGGUGGAGCUUGCGGUUUAAUUGGAUUCAACGCCGAAAAACUCACCAGCAGCGACUGUUACAUGAAAGUCAGGUUGAUGACCUUACUAGAUUUUCAGAGAGGUGGUGCAUGGCGUAGACGUCU
rnacentral:rRNA from 1 species